UACGGAGGGUGCGAGCGUUGUCCGGAAUCACUGGCCGUAAAGGGCGCGUAGGCGGCCUGAUGAGUAGGGGGUGAAAUCCUGCGGCUUAACCGCAGGGCUGCCUUCUAAACUGUCAGGCUAGAGCACAGUAGAGGCAGGUGGAAUUCCCGGUGUAGCGGUGGAAUGCGUAGAGAUCGGGAAGAACAUCAGUGGCGAAGGCGGCCUGCUGGGCUGUUGCUGACGCUGAGGCGCGACAGCGUGGGGAGCAAACAGG
rnacentral:rRNA from 1 species